CUGUUCCCUACUUCAGGAUUCAUGUUUGUUUGUCUUUGCAUACCAGGUUCUGACGCUGUCCUGUUUGAUGUCUGUUCCAUAUUAAAUGUUCUACUCGUACCUGCUUCUCUUAUCCAGCAUCGGUCCUUAAACAUACAAAAUGUCGGGUUGGAGGACAUCCCACCCUGACACCCUGCUCUCGAGCGGCUAGAUGUUCUUUACCAUUCGGCCAUCAGAUUUGCCACUAAUGCUCCUUAUAGGACAAAUCACUGCACUCUAUACACCUCUGCAAACUGUUCAUCUCUGUUCAUCUCUGUACACCUGUCGCCAGACCCACUGGUUGAUGCUUAUUUAUAAAACCCUCUUAGGCUUAAACCCUCCCCCUAUCUGAGAUAUCUAUGGUAGCCCUCAUCUUCCACAUACAACACCCAUUCUGCCAGUCACGUUCUGUUAAAGGUCCCCAAAGCACACACAUCCCAGGUCGCUCCUCUUUUCAGUUCGCUGCAGCAAACACUCAGACUGGACAGUUUUAUCUCAAUCUCUUCAUUCAAAGACUCAAUCAUGGACACUCUUACUGACAGUUGUGGAUGCUUUUGUGAUGUAUUGUUGUCUCUACUUUCUUGACAUUUGUGCUUUUGACUGUGCUCAACAAUGUUUGUACCAUGUUUUGUGCUGCUACCAUGUUGUGUUGCAACCAUGUUGUUAUUGUGUUGUAUUGCUACCAUGCAGUGUUGUCAUGUGUUGCUGCCUUGAUAUGUUGUUGUCUUAGGUCUCUCUUUAUGUAGUGUUGUGUUGUCUCUUUUGUUGUGAUGUGUGUUAUUUAAUAUAUAUUAAAUCCCAGGCCCUGUCCCCACAGGCCUUUUGUUAGGC